rnacentral:rRNA from 1 species
GGGUUAAGUCCCGUAACGAGCGCAACCCUUGUCCUUAGUUGCCAGCGCGUAAUGGCGGGAACUCUAAGGAGACUGCCGGUGACAAACCGGAGGAAGGUGGGGAUGACGUCAAGUCCUCAUGGCCCUUAUGGGUAGGGCUUCACACGUCAUACAAUGGUCGGUACAGAGGGUUGCCAAGCCGCGAGGUGGAGCCAAUCCCACAAAGCCGAUCGUAGUCCGGAUCGCAGUCUGCAACUCGACUGCGUGAAGUCGGAAUCGCUAGUAAUCGUGGAUCAGCAUGCCACGGUGAAUACGUUCCCGGGUCUUGUACACACCGCCCGUCACACCAUGGGAGUGGGUUUCACCAGAAGUAGUUAGCCUAACCGCAAGGGGGGCGAUUACCACGGUGGGAUUCAUGACUGGGGUGAAGUCGUAACAAGGUAGCCGUAGGGGAACCUGCGGCUGGAUCACCUCCUUU